rnacentral:tRNA from 1 species
AAAGGUUUAAGUUAGUUAAACUAAAAGCCUUCAAAGCUUUAAUCGGCCCAUAAACCAACCUUUA